rnacentral:rRNA from 1 species
GACGAACGCUGGCGGCGUGCUUAACACAUGCAAGUCGAACGGGGUUGAGAGGUGUGAGGUUAGAGGUUAGAAGUGAGAAACAAAAGUCGCGCAUCUAACUUCUCACCUCCCACUUCUCAAUCUAGUGGCGGACGGGUGAGUAACACGUGGGUAACCUGCCCAUAAGAGGGGGAUAACAUCCGGAAACGGGUGCUAAUACCGCAUGGUUUUCUGAUCGCAUGAUUGAGAAAGGAAGGCGGCCUUUUGUGCUGUCGCUUUAUGGAUGGACCCGCGGCGUAUUAGUUAGUUGGUGAGGUAACGGCUCACCAAGACGAUGAUACGUAGCCGA